rnacentral:misc_RNA from 1 species
GUAGGUGAACCUGCGGAAGGAUCAUUAACACGUAUCCAACGUUAAAACCCUUCAACACCGACAAGGGUCCUGCAAAUAGUUUGGGGCAACCCCUAGUAAAUCAUUGUCUGAAUCAGAUUUUGAGUUAGGGGCUUCUCUGGGCACCGCGGUGAGCAGGUUUAGCUAUUUACGUCCCUGGCGAAGUGUCAGUGUACUUGCGUAAGGAGUUGGCGCAGUCAACGAAUCAAGGGGCCGACACGGCCCUGCGACCGGGACCCUUUGAGCGGGUAAAACGGCUCCACCAAGAUGAAAAUCUUGCAUGACAUGAGAGACGGCCGGCGCCGAAAGGUUGUAGGCACAAAAAAACGAACAACUGUUAACAAUGGAUAUCUUGGUUCUC